UUACUGAAAGAUCACAAAAUUUAAAUUUAAUUACGUUUACUUGAUAACUUAAAUAAAACUAAUUUGACUAUAAAAAAUUUAACCAAUUUUAAAACCAAAAUCAAUUAAAUAUUUUUAUUAAAGUAGCCGCCUUGGGCGUACCUUUUGUAUCAGGGUUGAUUAAAAAUAUAAAAAUAAAUUUUAAAUCUCGAAAACUAACUAAAUAAAAUUAAAUAAAUUAUUAUAAAAAUAAUAAAUCAAAAUUAAUUUUAGAUUUUAAAAAAACCCAAGUUUUUAUUUCUAGUUGCUAAUAAAUUUUAUUCAAAUAAAAAAUAUUGUUGGUUGAAUUUAAAUUUUAAAAUCUAUAUUAUAAUGUUUUAAAAGAUAAGUUUUAAAACAAAAUCCACAUAUAAACUAACUACAAAAUAAAGUAAGAUUAAAAUUUUCUUAGCCUCAAAAUAUAUAAUAAUAUUAUUUUACGAACUUAGAAUUCUGAUUUUUGUGUGUUUUAACUAUUUAGCUUAAAUUACAUUUUUAACAAUUUUAGUCAAAUGAUUAAAUUACUAUACUAUAAAAAAUUAAAAAAAGAAAACUCGGCAAAUAACUCAAUUUUCAACUGUUUAUCAAAAACAUAGUUUAAGGUUAGGUUUUCUUAAAUAAUAUCUGCUCAAUGAAAAUUAAAUAGCUGCAGUAAAUUAACUGUACUAAGGUAGCAUAAUAAAUUGUUUUUUAAUUAAAAACUAGAAUGAAAGACUGAAUGAAAAAUUAACUAUUCUUUAAUUAAAAAGUUUAAUUUAAUGCUUAAGUUAAAAAUCUUAAAUUUACUCUUGAUAGACAAAAAGACCCUUUAGAAUUUUAUGUUAAAAUCUAGCUUCACUAAGAUUAAACAUUAAGUUGGGGAGACUGUAAAACUAAAAUCUUUUAUUUUAUAUUAACACAAAAUAAGUGCACAUUAACAACCCACUCAAUGAAAUUAAACUAAAUUACCUAAGGGAUAACAGCGUUAAAUUUUUUAUAAGAUCAAAUUCUAAAAAUUUAUUACGACCUCGAUGUUGGAUUAAGAAAACCUAAAAAGAAAAAUUUUUAGUUAAUGGUCUGUUCGACCAGCAAUUUCUUACAUGAUCUGAGUUCAGACCGGCGCAAGCCAGGUCAGAUUAUAUCUUCAAGCCCCAAAUUUACUAUAGUACGAAAGGAUCUGGUAAAAUGAAAAAUUU
rnacentral:rRNA from 1 species